GGUUAAGCGACUAAGCGUACACGGUGGAUGCCCUGGCAGUCAGAGGCGAUGAAGGACGUGCUAAUCUGCGAAAAGCGUCGGUAAGGUGAUAUGAACCGUUAUAACCGGCGAUGUCCGAAUGGGGAAACCCAGUGCAAUUCGUUGCACUAUCGUUAACUGAAUACAUAGGUUAACGAGGCGA
rnacentral:rRNA from 2 species